UGCCCAGUAACUCCUAUCUCUACCUCCUCGUGGUACUGGCCGGGAUCCGAGUAACCUUGGGGAAGA
rnacentral:ribozyme from 1 species